rnacentral:rRNA from 1 species
AUUGAACGCUGGCGGCAGGCCUAACACAUGCAAGUCGAACGAGUGGCGGACGGGUGAGUAAUGUCUGGGAAACUGCCUGAUGGAGGGGGAUAACUACUGGAAACGGUAGCUAAUACCGCAUACCAUCGGAUGUGCCCAGGUGGGAUUAGCUGGUUGGUGGGGUAACGGCUCACCAAGGCGACGAUCCCUAGCUGGUCUGAGAGGCUGACCAGCCAAACUGGAAAUGAGACACGGGGCAGACUGUUACGUGAGGGCGAAGUGGGGAAUAUUGCACAAGGGGCGGAAGGCUGAUGCAGCCAUGCAGGGUGUAUGAAGAAGGACGUCGGGUUGUAAAGUACUUUCAGCGGGGAGGCGUGACACGCAGAAGAAGCACCGGCGAACGCCGUGCCAGCAGCCGCGGUAUAC